rnacentral:rRNA from 1 species
CAGUUCUUUGGCAUUAACUGACGUUGAGGAGCGAAAGCAUGGGAGGGACCAGGAUUAGAUACCCUGGUAGUCCCAGCCGUAACGUUGGGCACUAGGUGUGGGGGACAUUCCACGUUUCCGCGCCGUAGCUAACGCAUUAAGUGCCCCGCCUGGGGAGUACGGCCGCAAGGCUAAACUCAAAGGAAUUGACGGGGCCCGCACAAGCGGCGGAGCAUGCGGAUUAAUUCGAUGCAACGCGAAGAACCUUACCAAGGCUUGACAUGAACCGGAAACACCCGGAGACAGGUGCCCCGCUUGCGGUCGGUUUACAGGUGGUGCAUGGUUGUCGUCAGCUCGUGUCGUGAGAUGUUGGGUUAAGUCCCGCAACGAGCGCAACCCUCGUUCUAUGUUGCCAGCACGUGAUGGUGGGGACUCAUAGGAGACUGCCGGGGUCAACUCGGAGGAAGGUGGGGACGACGUCAAAUCAUCAUGCCCCUUAUGACCUGGGCUACACACGUACUACAAUGGCCAGUACAACGGGCCGCGAAGCCGCGAGGUGGAGCUAAUCCUAAAAAGCCGGUCUCAGUUCGGAUUGCAGGCUGCAACUCGCCUGCAUGAAGUCGGAAUUGCUAGUAAUCGCGGAUCAGCAUGCCGCGGUGAAUACGUUCCCGGGUCUUGUACACACCGCCCGUCACACCACGAGAGUUUAUAACACCCGAAGUCGGUGGGGUAACCGCAAGGAGCCAGCCGCCGAAGGUGGGAUAGAUGAUUGGGGUGAAGUCGUAACAAGGUAGCCGUAUCGGAAGGUGCGGCUGGAUCACCUCCUU